GGUUGAUCCUGCCAGUAGCAUAUGCUUGACUUGGAGAUUAAGCCAUGCAUGUCUAAGUAUAAGUUAUAUAUGGCGAAACUGCGAAUGGCUCAUUAAAACAGUUAUAAUUUAUUUGAUGAUUUUUUUACAUGGAUAACCGUGGGAAACUGGGGCUAAUACAUGCGUAAAUGCCGAAAGGCUGUAUUUAUUAGUUUCAAUCCAAUAUAACUCCGUUAUUUUGCGAGGAAUCAUAAUAACUAAUCAGAGCGUAGCAAUACGCCGCAUCAUUCAAGUUUCUACCCUAUCAGCUCUC
rnacentral:rRNA from 1 species